CCAGACUCCUACGGGAGGCAGCAGUGGGGAAUAUUGGGCAAUGGAGGCAACUCUUACCCAGCAAUGCCGCGUGAAUGAAGAAGGUCUUCGGAUUGUAAAGUUCUUUAAUUGGGGACGAAAAAAAUGACGGUACCCAACGAAUAAGCACCGGCUAACUCCGUGCCAGCAGCCGCGGUAAUACGGAGGGUGCAAGCGUUACUCGGAAUCACUGGGCGUAAAGAGUGCGUAGGCGGGGUAAUAAGUCAGAUGUGAAAUCCUGUAGCUUAACUACAGAACUGCAUUUGAAACUGUUACUCUGGAGUGUGGGAGAGGUAGGUGGAAUUCUUGGUGUAGGGGUAAAAUCCGUAGAGAUCAAGAGGAAUACUCAUUGCGAAGGCGACCUGCUAGAACAUAACUGACGCUGAUGCGCGAAAGCGUGGGGAGCAAACAGGAUUAGAUACCCCUGUAC
rnacentral:rRNA from 1 species